rnacentral:lncRNA from 1 species
AUGACAUUUUUAUUGCAGGUUUUGACCUUUAGGAGAGAGCCAAUUCUGGAGAACAACCUAACUUCUUUGAUUGAACAUUCACAUAAUGCAUUGGAACAUGAUAGGAGAUUAAGCUGGGGGAGCAGGGGCUGGGAGAUUGCUGCUGCUUGUCAGCUGUUGUACAGAAUAGCAUCAAUAUGCAAUAAUGGUGGCCAAAGGAGCCUGCACCCACCAGCUUUCACAGACCAGGUUUAA